rnacentral:rRNA from 1 species
UACGGGAGGCAGCAGUGGGGAAUAUUGCACAAUGGGCGCAAGCCUGAUGCAGCGACGCCGCGUGAGGGAUGAAGGCCUUCGGGUUGUAAACCUCUUUCAGUAGGGAAGAAGCGAAAGUGACGGUACCUGCAGAAGAAGCGCCGGCUAACUACGUGCCAGCAGCCGCGGUAAUACGUAGGGCGCAAGCGUUAUCCGGAAUUAUUGGGCGUAAAGAGCUCGUAGGCGGUUUGUCGCGUCUGCCGUGAAAGUCCGGGGCUUAACCCCGGAUCUGCGGUGGGUACGGGCAGACUUGAGUGAUGUAGGGGAGACUGGAAUUCCUGGUGUAGCGGUGAAAUGCGCAGAUAUCAGGAGGAACACCGAUGGCGAAGGCAGGUCUCUGGGCAUUAACUGACGCUGAGGAGCGAAAGCAUGGGGAGCGAACAGGAUUAGAUACCCUGGUAGUCCAUGCCGUAAACGUUGGGCACUAGGUAUGGGGGACAUUCCACGUUUUCCGCGCCGUAGCCAACGCAUUAAGUGCCCCGCCUGGGGAGUACGGCCGCAAGGCUAAAACUCAAAGGAAUUGACGGGGGCCCGCACAAGCGGCGGAGCAUGCGGAUUAAUUCGAUGCAACGCGAAGAACCUUAC